ensembl:snRNA U1 U1 spliceosomal RNA
GCACUUACCUGGCAGGUGAGAUGCCAUGAUCAUGAAGGUGGUUUUCCCAGGGCGAGGCUCAUCCAUUGCACUCCAGAUGUGCUGACCCUGGCGACUUCCCCAUAUGUGGGAAACUCGACUGCAUAAUUUGUGGUAGUGGGAGACUGCAUUUGCACUCUCCCC